UACUUUUAUCUGGAUAACCUUAGCAGCCAAAUUAGUUGGAUAAAAUUUGUAUUGGCAGAAAUUUUUAUACUCUGAAAUGCUCCCAGCAACUCAGUUGAGAGACAUGCAACUCUUCUUGUCUGGUACUAGUAGUCCCUUCAUCAUGUUUUUUUUUAAAUUAUUCUUUGUGUGUACAAACUCUAAGAAAAAAAGGGCUAUGUAUUAUUAUAAGGCCACACAUUGGGCAUUGCAGCUUCAUUCCCAAAUUGUGAGUUAGAACAAAUUUUAUUGGAUUAGUUAAAUUAGUUAAACUGUGGUUUGAAAGUUUUGUGCUAAAUAUCGUUAGACCAAUGUAUCUGGAUGUAAUUUGUGUCUAUAUGUAUUAAUGCAUCACAUUAUUGAAAUAGUAGAGAAGUCGGAGGAAAGAUGUAUAUAUAUACUUUAAUAUUUUAAUUGUAUUAUUAAAAAUAAAUCUUAUGCUUUUUUUCCUAUAAAAAAUAUUUAUAAACCACUCAUGUAUGCUUUAUUAUGGUGAAGUACUUUUCAACUUUUGACUUUCUGAUUCUUCGGUGUAUAACUGUUCAAACAUGCUUGACUUUAGUUGGUGCUAUCUGACGUGUUUCUAAUGAAUUGGGGAUAUGUUAAUGUAGAUUAUGCUGUGACUGAAAUUGAGAUAACCUUUUCUGUCUUCUUGAUACUAAGUGGAUCUUUUCUCUUCUAUGAUUCUGGAAUAUAAAUUUGUUUUGGUUUCAGUAAACUGUAUAUUUGUUUUAUUUUAAUCUCUAAAAUUAUGUAAAUUAAUGGUUUUAGCUCUCGAAUUUGCAGAAAAAUGAUUAUUUGAUUUAGUGCUCUUGGCUGAUUUAAGCUAGGCCUUUUAACCAUCACUUUAAAAACUAAGUUGAAUCACUUUUUUGCAACUAUAGGGACCUCUCAAGUUAAGUAAUUAAAUAGUGAGCUUCUGAAUUUACAAAAAAAAGAGAUCUAAUUUUGUGCUUUUGGUGAUUCAAGCUAGUCCUUAUGAGCAUCACCUUAAUGAUUAAAUUGAACCACUCUUUGAAAUUUCAACCAACCUUUUUAUUAACCUUCAUCAUGGUUUUAAUCUCAAGAUCUCUCAUCAGCUUAGAAAUUUUUUGGUUACCAUUGUUCAAUGUUUCCUCUAAUUCUCGGAGUUACAUUCUAAAUUUGUCUUAACUUAAUUUGUUUGCCUUGAAGUAGGUUCUCUGACGAGCAGAUAUCUCGUAGAUCUGAAAUAAAUUACCUGAGGUGUAUUCCUGCACCUGUAACUGUGAUAGCUUGAUAACAUUGACUUAGACUUAUCACAGUCCUUGGAGCUAUAUUAUCCCAUAACUUCACAGCUCCUACUCCAGAAUCAAAGCUUCCUUCAGCUUACACUUGUUCUCUUCAGAAGGAAUUUUAUUUUCCAUUUCAAAUAUUUGGCAUUGGACCCAGAGUUUCUUUCUUCCAGUAAUUUCUUUUGAAAGUGCAGAAUUAUUCAAUGAGUAAGCAAUUUUCUUUUAUUUUUUUGUUAGCUGUGUAUUAUCCUGGAUGCUAGUAAAUGUGUGUUUUAUUAUUCGGUUUAAGAGUUAUUCUCGCAUUCUAUAUCAAGUGUUAAUUAUUUACUUUUUUCUCAUGGUCUGACUUUGUUUUACUAUGUGUCGUCGUUCUAUUUUUUCAUUAAACUAGAUAUUGAUAAGAGUUGGAUUUCAAAGUCGCGAGUUAGUGCAGAAUAUAGGAACGAUUUGACCAGAUUCCUAGAUUUUGCAUUUGCCAAUGCAUCAUCCGAUGGGAUGAUACGUUGUCCAUAUCCGAAGUGUGGGUUCCGCCUCUUACAAAAUAAAGAGGAUGUGUUCGAUCAUUUGGUGAUAAACACUUUCCCGUCUAGUUACACAUUUUGGAUCCAUCAAGGUGAGAGACGCGGGGUCGAGAGCUCUUGUGAUGGACAAGAAGAUCAAUCUGAACAAAAUUUCAACGCCCCGAUGCUUGAUAUGGUCCACGAGGCAUUCAACUUCUCAGGACUUCCCGGCCACGAAGAAGACUCAGAGAAUGAACAUGACGGCGGCGCUAUGGAUGAGUUGCCUUACCUAUACAAAAACCUAUUCGAGAGACCCGCAACUUUCACGACCUAUUCGAAGACGGGGAGUAGGAGUUAUACCCAGGAUGUUCAAAGUUCUCUAAGUUGUCUUUCUUGGUGAGGCUCUAUCACAUAAAGUCCAUGUGCGGAGUGAGCGAUAAGGCCUUCGGAAUGAUUUUGGAGUUGCUCGCAGACGCCUUUGAGCAUGCCCAGAUUCCAUCCACUGCAACGACCAAGAGUUGACCAAAUGCAAGCAGUGUGGGACAUCGAGAUGGAAGCAUAAGACUAAGAAGAACUCUAGGGUGAGGAUCAAGAUGGUUGUUAAGAAGAAUAGCAAACCACA